CUCUGAUUUCCUAGAAUUUGUUUGAACUGAAAAUAAUUCUAUCAAGCGUUAGAAAUGGGGAAAGGGAGGGCUGUAAAUUCUUCAGCGCAUGCUAUCAUUAGAUGUUUUCUUGUAUUAGUUAACAUAUUAUCAAUGAUUGUUGGUUUUACAAUGUUUGGAUUUGGUCUUUAUGUAAGGUUCUUUUUAAAAAAACCUUUCCUGGGCAAAUAUUUUACAGACACAGUUAAAGAUAUAUAUAAAGAGAUCAAUCAGAAUUCCACAGUACCAGACAAUCUCGAAUUAUAUGAUUUUACAUAUAAUGUUGCAAUGUCACUGAUCUUCGUGGGACUCGUGUUGGUCAUUCUGACUGUAAUUGCAUGUGCAGGUGCCUGUAAAUCAUUGCCACUGUUGGUGCUGUUUAAUGUGUUGAUAUUGGCUAUGAUAAUAGCAGAAAUAACAGUCGCUAGUUUAGUAAUACCAGCAUCAUCACCAAUCCAUGAUGCCAGUAGAAAUGAUUUGUUAAACAACUUAAAACAUUAUAAUGUGAAUGGUUCUGAUGAUUUCUCUGCCACAAUGAAUAUACUGAUGCUUGGGUUGGACUGUUGUGGAAUAAAUGAACAAGACGAUUUUGAUGAUGUAACUAUGAUUUAUAAAGGGGUUAACGUGAAGAUACCACCAGCAUGUUGUAAGAUCGAACCUGGGGGAAAAACCUUACUAAACUGUGAAAACAAUGCAACUAAUUCUAAUUCUCAGACUGAGGGAUGUUACAAUGCCUUUCACGGAGUCUUAAUGUCAUCAGUUAAUUGGCUUAUUGGAUAUACAGUUCUAUUUAUAUUGAUACAGGUUCUGCAAUUCUGUGCUUCCUACCACGUGGUUGUAAAUUAUGAAAGAAUUGGAUAUCUCCGCAUUUAAUAAAAGAGUCUUAGAAAAUGAAGAAAUAAAAGGAAUUGAAGAUUUUAUCCGAAUAUAUAUUUAAAUUAUUUCAGUCUGAUUAAAAUGCAGAUCUAUAUUUCGUUUCGUUUCGUUUUUUUUAUACUUCCGAUGGCCUCUGUAGUGGGAGGUCGCGUCAGAGGUCAUACGAUCGGUUUUUGACCCUACGACGUCAAACAUUUGAUUCACCAAUCAGCGUUGAUGUUUCUAGUGGGCUACCCACAGUUCCGUGCCAAAAACUCGCCGUAACAGACCUUUUCAUUGGCUAAUUCCCCACAUCACUCAGAACGCUUGUUAUAUAAUAACUCCACCAGAUCCUAGUGUAGUAAUGACAAGCAAACGAAAUUUUGAACUACACGAAACGAAACGAAAUAGGAUCUGCGUUUUAAUCAGAUUGAAAUUAUAUGGGUGGGGCUAUUAAAUUAAACCAGUUUACCCGUCUCUUGGAAACACAAUAACUGUAUACUCAGUUAUUUGAAAAGUGUGGCAUUCAUAUACAUGUAUUACACAAAACAGGGCUUUAUAACCAAUCAAUCCAUUUUAGAGGUGUGUCAGAAAUAUAAUCUAGAAAUAAACUGUUAUAUAGUUUGGAAACAGAAUAAUAUAACCCAAGCGGCGAUACCACAUAGCUGGAAAGACAUAAUAAAUACUCAUUCAAAUCCUGAUGAUUGUAUUCCAGAAUACACCUUUAAAAUGGAUGACAUUCUGCUUUCACUCUUAAACAUACAUUAUGCAAGAGCUAAAUCUGCCUACUGCGGGUCUUUUUUUAGGCACGAAAUGUUAACUAAAUUAUUAAUUAGACAUUAAUUAACAUAUCCAGACCAUAAUUAACUCUCGAUGCCAUCGCUAGCCUGCGAUAUUUAGUGGCUUGGAAUAUAUUUUUGAGAAAUAAUUAAACGUAAAAAUGAAUAACGGCUAAAAGCUAAUAUCUCGGUUUAGAGUGGAGCAAUUUGAUUGAAGUUCUCAGCAUAUUCUAUUUACGUUAUCUAUUUCGUAACUACUAUAGUGAGAACUGUCAACUCGUUGUCUAAUCUCCCAUAAUGCACCUUUAAUGAUUUUAAAACCAAAGUAUGAUACUAACUAUUAUUAAAAAGUGUAUAUGUAAAGAAGCCACAUAUGUAAAAUUUUGGAACAAUAAAUUUGUACAGUUUUUAAUACAGACCUUUAGAAGAUACAUAAUUUCACAUAAUCAUAAAACUAUAAAUAAAAAUAGAAUCAAACGGAACAGUUACACUUGAUUUAUGAGCACUUAAGAAAUUUUGAAAUAAUUAUGUAUUGUAUAUAAAUUGGCAAAUAUUUUAAUAUUAUGCAUAUAUGAUUUUAAUGUUUUACCGUAAAUAUGUGAAAUCCAAAAUCCAUCAUAAAAGUACUCGUAUUUUUAAAAUCAUCCAUUUUAUUAUGUCUCUUUAUAAAAAUAAUUUAAUUAUUUGUCA